ensembl:ncRNA K07C10.6 ncRNA
GCAAGAGUUGUGAUGACUUACUUAGGACACCUUUGGAGGGCCUCGGUCUGCUGAAAAGAAAAAUAGUACGCCUUAGUCUGAGCUCUUGUCUCUCGAUAAAUUUUUGGAAAGCUUCC